rnacentral:tRNA from 9 species
CAAGAAAAGGUCAGGA